rnacentral:rRNA from 1 species
UGUGUCUGAGACCUGAUGCCGAGCCGAUUGUGGUGAAGUGGAUGAUCCUAUGCUGUCGAGAAAAGCCUCUAGUGAGUGCUGUUGCGGCCCGUACCCUAAACCGACUCAGGUGGUCUGGUAGAGAAUACCGAGGCGUUCGGGUGAACUAUGGUUAAGGAACUCGGCAAAAUGCCCCCGUAACUUCGGGAGAAGGGGGGCCAUUCCUGGUGAUGAGAUUUUCUCUCUGAGCUGGGGGUGGCCGCAGAGACCAGCGAGAAGCGACUGUUUACUAAAAACACAGGUCCGUGCGAAGCCGUAAGGCGAUGUAUACGGACUGACGCCUGCCCGGUGCUGGAACGUUAAGGGGACCGGUUAGCUCCAUUUCGGUGGGGCGAAGCUGAGAACUUAAGCGCCAGUAAACGGCGGUGGUAACUAUAACCAUCCUAAGGUAGCGAAAUUCCUUGUCGGGUAAGUUCCGACCUGCACGAAUGGCGUAACGACUUCUCGACUGUCUCAACCAUAGGCCCGGUGAAAUUGCAUUACGAGUAAAGAUGCUCGUUUCGCGCAGCAGGACGGAAAGACCCCGGGACCUUUACUACAGUUUGAUAUUGGUGUUCGGUUCGGCUUGUGUAGGAUAGGUGGGAGACUGUGAAGCUAUGGCGCCAGCCGUGGUGGAGUCGUUGUUGAAAUACCACUCUGGUCGUGCUGGAUGUCUAACCUGGGUCCGUGAUCCGGAUCAGGGACAGUGUCUGAUGGGUAGUUUAACUGGGGCGGUUGCCUCCUAAAGGGUAACGGAGGCGCCCAAAGGUUCCCUCAGCCUGGUUGGCAAUCAGGUGUUGAGUGUAAGUGCACAAGGGAGCUUGACUGUGAGACUGACGGGUCGAGCAGGAGCGAAAGCUGGGACUAGUGAUCCGGCGGUGGCUUGUGGAAGCGCCGUCGCUCAACGGAUAAAAGGUACCCCGGGGAUAACAGGCUGAUCUUCCCCAAGAGUCCAUAUCGACGGGAUGGUUUGGCACCUCGAUGUCGGCUCGUCGCAUCCUGGGGCUGGAGUCGGUCCCAAGGGUUGGGCUGUUCGCCCAUUAAAGCGGUACGCGAGCUGGGUUUAGAACGUCGUGAGACAGUUCGGUCCCUAUCCGCUGUGCGCGUAGGAGUCUUGAGAAGGGCUGUCCCUAGUACGAGAGGACCGGGACGGACGGACCUCUGGUGUGCCAGUUGUUCUGCCAAGAGCAUGGCUGGUUGGCUACGUUCGGGAGGGAUAACCGCUGAAAGCAUCUAAGCGGGAAGCCUGCUUCGAGAUGAGGACUCCCACCCACUUGAUGGGGUAAGGCUCCCAGUAGACGACUGGGUUGAUAGGCCAGAUAUGGAAGCCGGGUAACCGGUGGAGUUGACUGGUACUAAUAGGCCGAGGGCUUGUCCUC